rnacentral:tRNA from 1 species
UUGAUGACUACCGACAGUUCCUGUGGCUUGCUUGGCGACAAGCGUAGGUCGUCGGUUCGAUUCCGACAGGCGGCUCCA